rnacentral:rRNA from 1 species
GUGCCAGCCGCGCGGUAAAACCGGCAGCCCGAGUGAUGGCCGAUCUCAUUGGGCCUAAAGCGUCCGUAGCUGGCUGCGCAAGUCCGUCGGGAAAUCCAUCAGCCCAACUGAUGGGCGUCCGGCGGAAACUGCACGGCUUGGGACCGGAAGGCUCGAGAGGUACGUCCGGGGUAGGAGUGAAAUCCCGUAAUCCCGAACGGACCACCGAUGGCGAAAGCACUCUGAGAAGACGGCUUCGACAGUGAGGGACGAAAGCCAGGGUCUCCAACCGGAUUAGAUACCCCUGUAGUCC